rnacentral:misc_RNA from 1 species
GAUGAAGAACGUAGUGAAAUGCGAUAAAUAAUGUGAAUUGCAGAAUUCAGUGAAUCAUCGAGUCUUUGAACGCACAUUGCGCCCCCUGGUAUUCCGGGGGGCAUGCCUGUCCGAGCGUCAUUGCUGCCCUCAAGCACGGCUUGUGUGUUGGGCCCCCGUCCCCCCCUCCCGGGGGACGGGCCCGAAAGGCAGCGGCGGCACCGCGUCCGGUCCUCGAGCGUAUGGGGCUUUGUCACCCGCUCUGUAGGCCCGGCCGGCGCCUGCCGACCACCAUCAAUCUUUUUUCAGGUUGACCUCGGAUCAGGUAGGGAUACCCGCUGAACUUAAGCAUAUCAAAAGCGGAGGA